GACGAACGCUGGCGGCGUGGAUUAGGCAUGCAAGUCGAACGGUAUCAUCCUUUCGGGGGUGAGAGAGUGGCGAACUGGUGAGUAACACGUAGGUUAUCUACCCUCAAGACGGGGACAACCCAGGGAAACUUGGGCUAAUACCGGAUGUGAGCAACUUUUUAGUUGUUUGAAAGGUGGCGUAAGCUGUCGCUUGGGGAUGAGCCUGCGUCCUAUUAGUUAGUUGGUGAGGUAACGGCUCACCUAGGCAAUGAUAGGUAGGCGGCCUUAACGGGUGGUCGCCCACACUGGGAUUGAGAUACGGCCCAGACUCCUACGGGAGGCAGCAGUCGAGAAUAGUCUACAAUGGUCGGAAGACUGAUAGUGCGACGCCGCGUGAACGAUGAAUCCCUUCGGGGUGUAAAGUUCUUUUAUAUGUGAGCAGUGCUUCUUAUAUUAAACAGUAUGGGGAAGAGAUAUUAGCAUAUGAAAUAAGCAAACGGCUAAACUCCGUGCCCAAGCAAGCCGCGGUAAAG
rnacentral:rRNA from 1 species